rnacentral:rRNA from 1 species
UAGUCCACGCCGUAAACGAUAGUCACUAGCUGUUCGGACUUCGGUCUGAGUGGCUAAGCGAAAGUGAUAAGUAUCCCACCUGGGGAGUACGUUCGCAAGAAUGAAACUCAAAGGAAUUGACGGGGGCCCGCACAAGCGGUGGAGCAUGUGGUUUAAUUCGAUGAUACGCGAGGAACCUUACCAGGGCUUAAAUGCAGAGUGACAGAUCUAGAAAUAGAUUUUUCUUCGGACACUCUACAAGGUGCUGCAUGGUUGUCGUCAGCUCGUGCCGUGAGGUGUCAGGUUAAGUCCUAUAACGAGCGCAACCCCUAUUGUUAGUUGCCAGCGGGUCAUGCCGGGAACUCUAACAAGACUGCCGGUGCAAACCGUGAGGAAGGUGGGGAUGACGUCAAAUCAUCACGGUCCUUACGUCCUGGGCUACACACGUGCUACAAUGGCCGGUACAGAGAGCAGCCACUGCGCGAGCAGGAGCGAAUCUUCAAAGCCGGUCACAGUUCGGAUC